rnacentral:ncRNA from 1 species
UAAAGGUUUGGUCCUAGCCUUACCAUCAACUGUUUCUCAACUUACACAUGCAAGUCUCAGCACACCAGUGAGAACGCCCUUUCAACCUUCACCAGGCCAAGGAGCCGGCAUCAGACACAACCCCUGUCCACAACGCCUAGUCUCACCACACCCCCAAGGGUCAUCAGCAGUGACAAAUUUUGAGCAUAAGCGAUAGCUUGACUCAGUUAGAGAAAAGAGAGCCGGCCAACCCGGUGCCAGCCGCCGCGGCUACCCCGUGGGGCUCAAGUUGAAGGUCAUCGGCGUUAAGCGUGAUUAAAGUUCUCUUAGAUUAGGGCCAAAUUAAUACUUAGUUGUUUAAAGCUUGUCAUUAAGAGGAACACAAACGAAAGUUGCCCUAACCCACACACUUGAAUACACGACAGCUGGGGAACAAACUGGGAUCAGAUACCCCACUAUGCCCAGCCGUAAACAAUUAAUCCACAACCAUAAGCGCCAGGGAAUUACGAGCCAAGCUUAAAACCCAAAGGAUUUGACGGUGUCCCACCCCCCUAGAGGAGCCUGUUCUAUAAUCGAUGAUCCCCGCUACACCCGACCAUUUCUUGCUUAUCAGUCUGUAUACCUCCGUCGAAAGCCUACCAUGUGAACGCCCCCACAGUAGGUUCAAUGAUCCCCGUCAAUACGUCAGGUCAAGGUGCAGCUUAAGAAAUGGGAAGUGAUGGGCUACAAUUUCUAACCUAGAACAAACGAAAGGCUAUGUGAAAUCAUAGUCACGAAGGCGGAUUUAGUAGUAAAAAGAAAAUAGAGUGUUCUUUUUAACCUGGCUCUGGGACGCGUACACACCGCCCGUCACCCUCUUCGAUAGUGCUAACCCACAGUUUAUAACCUAUUUAUACGUCUGAGAAGAGGCAAGUCGUAACAUGGUAAGUGUACUGGAAAGUGCACUUGGUAUAUUA